CAAAAGGAAAAGGUGUCAACCUAAAAUCCUAUGCCACAGCAGUGGUCUGCAGAGGGGAAGAGUCACAAACAGCACAAUCUGGUAAAAAACAGACAACAAUGCCACAACAUCUCAAAGACGUGAUCGAAGUCCAGUGAGACCUCCACCUGGUGACCCCACAUUCACCUUUCACAUCUACGCCGUGCUGGAU